UUUUUUAUAAAAUGUCAAGGAAAGUAAUAUAUAGUUGACGUUUCUUGUACGUCAUGAAAACCUGGUAUGUAGUUGGCACUUUUUAAAAAGCGUCGAAGCUUCAUAGAAUAGGUGAUGGUUUUGCAAAAAGCAUCAACUAAAGCCUAUUUUCUUGUAGUUCUUAUAUUUGGGAACACUAGAAAAUAAGACUAGGAAAUAUCAAUUUCUCUCAUUCCC
rnacentral:lncRNA from 1 species